rnacentral:tRNA from 2 species
GCCCGGUUAGCUCAAUCGGUAGAGCGUGAGACUCUUAGACUACCACAAAGUGGUAUUGAGUACGCGAUCUCAAGGUUGCGGGUUCGACCCCCGCAUCGGGCU